rnacentral:lncRNA from 1 species
AAAAAUACUAUAGAGUAGUUGGAAAUCAAAAUGGAUAUCUAAAAUUUUAAAGAGGAUUUUAGUUAAGAGAGAGUAAAGCGAUGAAGAUUUAGUUUGAUAUUGAGAUCUAUCUAACGAUUAGAUAAAAUGGAGUUAGGGUAAAAGUAUACCGACUAAUCGCGAUAUGUGGAAUGUAAUAUUACAUACGGAAAUAAACAUGGUAUUUUUUUCAUCGCACUUGACCGCACGUAAUGCAAUCUUUCCACAAUCCCAAACGAAGCCUAAGGGAAAGGGAAGAAAAGUGUAUGCGAGAGAAGAUUUUGAAUGGUUUUAUUCGCAAUGGGCCAAUUCAUGAUUCAAAGCCAAAUUGGACCUUAAAUGAAUUGGGUCAAUUCCAUUUUCAGAGUAUAAUGAAAAUCGAAAUUUGAUUCCUGUAAAACAAAUAAUAAUUAUCGAAUUAAUGAAUCACAUUUUGAUUCCAUAAUCUAAAUAGGUAAACCAAAUAAGCUCUUAAAAUAUAGUAUAUAGAUUGAGAAAUAAGGCUUUUUUGUAUAAAAAAUCUGUUGGUUUUUGUAGAAUUGGGCCACUUUUUUGGAUUUUGUAAUUUUUGUAUGAAGUUUUAAAAAUCUGACCAAAAUGUCUCAGCGCUUAAAAUAAAUUAAUCUGACCAAAAUAGUUGUCCUCGGCCUUCUCUUUCUUCCUUUUCUUCUACUACUAUUUUUCCUUUUUUUUCUAUUUUUUUCAUUAAAUAAAAUCUUAUUCUUUUUUUAUUCUUUGUUGCUAAAAAAAAA